GGAAGGGGCGGAGCGGCCUGGGAUGAUGAGGCUCCAUUUUUAGCCGCCAUUUCGGAAAAAGCCGCCUGCCUAUAAAGGAAAGACAAUGAAGAAGAGAGAUCUACGUGGGAGAAUUGCUGUGAAGAUUGAUGAGAGGAGGAUAGAGUGAAAGAACUUCUGUUUUUGCACAGGGCUUUGCAUGUACGUAUUGCCAAAGCUGCAAGAUAAAAGCCUUCCUGGUUGUGGAAAGAAACCUCUGCUGUCCUUACCUGUUUGCUGUUCUAAUCAGGAAGCCAAGUUUCAGCAUUCAUCUUUAGAGAAGAAUUAUUCAGAUAAUGUCUUUGAAAUGCAACUGUGAGCCUAUUAUAAACACUGGCAAGCUGCUGCCCAUGGCUAGAUGACUGCCUGGGAACAACUAGAUUGUUUCUGUCUGGAAGACAAAACUAAGAAAUGGGUUUGUGGAGGAUUCAAAUCUGGAAUGAUAUUGGCUCACACUUACAGUAUUCCCAGAGAAAAAACAUUCUGUCCACAUACCCAGGACUACCUCUUCCCUGGUCCAGGAAUUCAUAGACAUGUUUUCCAUUCUACUCCUAAGUACAGUAUAUAUCUUUUUUGCACACACUCCUGAACUGAAUUCGCAGUUUUCCCAUUACAAUUGUAUCAAAUAAAUCUUCUGCUAGUUUUCCAGAAUUUAGAUCAAUGUCAAUAUUGGCUGGGGAAUUUUUGGAGUUGUCAUUAAAAAAAAAAAAAGGUUUCUUCAAGUUCUGGUGCUCAUAAAGCGUCAUUUAGCAUAUCUGUAGCUUUGUGAAAUAGAGAACAUACAUAGUGGGGUUGUUUCUAGCCAGAGAAGACAGACCUCAAGGAAUCAAAGGAAACAGAAAGUGAAAAAGUAGAGGUGGAACAAAAGAAGCAGUAAGAAUGUGAUAUCCCUUGCGGAAAAUUUAGAACACACAUGGGCAAACUUUGGCCUUCCAAGUUUGCCCAUGCAUGAUUUAGAAUUUGCGAUUGGUGCAAUGAUUUAGGUCCAUUUCUUCUGCCAGUCUAAUUCAAUGAGCUGAAUAUUACCUAUGUGACUGCUAACUGGAUUUGGAUCAGGAUACUUGGAGGACUGUUUCCUCUCACAUAAAGCUAUGCUUCAUAUAUACUAAUAUUUGGUUGCCUUGUCAGAUGCCAAGAAAUAUGCUGUAGGCAGUAACAUGAGAUAGGGCAUUUUAGUGGUACCAUUAGAGCUGUAGUGCAAUUGGCUUCUUGAUGGAUUUUAGGGAGGC